rnacentral:rRNA from 1 species
GCUCAGAUUGAACGCUGGCGGCAGGCCUAACACAUGCAAGUCGAGCGGUAACAGAGAGAAGCUUGCUUCUCUGCUGACGAGCGGCGGACGGGUGAGUAAUACUUGGGAAUUUGCCUUUAGGCGGGGGACAACCACGGGAAACUGUGGCUAAUACCGCAUAAUGUCUAUCGGACCAAAGUGGGGGACCUUCGGGCCUCACACCUAAAGAUGAGCCCAAGCGGGAUUAGCUAGUUGGUGGGGUAAAGGCUCACCAAGGCGACGAUCCCUAGCUGUUCUGAGAGGAUGAUCAGCCACACUGGGACUGAGACACGGCCCAGACUCCUACGGGAGGCAGCAGUGGGGAAUAUUGCACAAUGGGGGAAACCCUGAUGCAGCCAUGCCGCGUGUGUGAAGAAGGCCUUCGGGUUGUAAAGCACUUUCAGCGACGAGGAAGGGUGUUGUGUUAAUAGCGCAGCACAUUGACGUUAGUCGCAGAAGAAGC